rnacentral:rRNA from 1 species
AAGGACGUGAUAAGCUGCGAUAAGCUUCGGGUAGGUGCAAAUAACCUUUGAUCCGGAGAUUUCCGAAUGGGACAACCCAAUUGGUUGAAGGCCAAUCAUCCAACCAAGUUGGAGGCUAACGCAGGGAACUGAAACAUCUUAGUACCUGCAGGAAAAGAAAAUAAACAAUGAUUCCCCCAGUAGUGGCGAGCGAACGGGGAACAGCCCAAACCAUCCAUGUUACGGCAUGGGUGGGGUUGUAGGACUACGCCGUUGCAUGAAGACAUCAGAGAAGAACUUUCUGGAAAGAAAGACCAUAGAGCAUGACAGUUGCGUAUUCGAAUGUUGUCGAAGCAUAGUAGUAUCCUGAGUAGCGCGGAGCACGAGGAAUUCUGCGUGAAUCUGCCGGGACCAUCCGGUAAGGCUAAAUACUCCCGAGAGACCGAUAGCGAACCAGUACCGUGAGGGAAAGGUGAAAAGAACCCCGAGCAGGGGAGUGAAAUAGACCCUGAACCCGUCUGCCUACAAGCGGUCGGAGCGUCGUAAUGACGUGACGGCGUGCCUUUUGCAUAAUGAACCUACGAGUUACCUUCCCCGGCAAGGUUAAGUACCUAAGGUACGGAGCCGAAGCGAAAGCGAGUCUGAACAGGGCGCCAAGUCGGGGGGGGUAGACGCGAAACCGAGUGAUCUACCCUUGGCCAGGUUGAAGGUUGGGUAACACCAACUGGAGGACCGGAUGGGUAAGCGUUGAAAAGCUUUCCAAUGAGCUGAGGGUAGGGGUGAAAGGCUAAUCAAACUCGGAGAUAGCUCGUACUCCCCGAAAUGCAUUUAGGUGCAGCCUCUUUAUAGUAUAUCGUGAGGUAGAGCGACUGAUUGGAUGCGAGGGCUUCACCGCCUAUCAAGUCCAGAUAAACUCCGAAUGCGCGAUAUAUAUUUACAGGGAGUGAGGGCGCGGGUGCUAAGGUCCGUGUCCGAGAGGAGAAGAAUCCAGACCACCGGCUAAGGCCCCCAAAUGAUCGUUAAGUUGAACUAACGAGGUCGGAUCGCAGAGACAGCUAGGAUGUUGGCUUGGAAGCAGCCAUUCAUUUAAAGAGUGCGUAACAGCUCACUAGUCGAGCGAUCUGGCGUGGAUAAUAAUCGGGCAUAAACGAUCUGCCGAAGCCGUGGAUGUCGCAAGACAUGGUAGGGGAGCAUUCCAUGCGGCGUCGAAGAUGAGGGAUGACCCUUGUUGGAGCGCAUGGAAAAGCAAAUGUAGGUAUGAGUAACGAUAAGGGGGGCGAGAAACCCCCCCGCCGAAAGACCAAGGUUUCCUGAUCAACGCUAAUCGGAUCAGGGUGAGUCGGGACCUAAGGCAAAGCCGAACGGCGCCGCCGAUGGAAGAAUGGGUUAAUAUUCCCAUACUGCCUCAUGGAGUGACGUGGAGACGGAGAAGUGACAGUCCUGCCGGCUGACGGAAUAGCCGGUUGAAGGGUGUAGAUAUUGAUUCCCGUAGGCAAAUCCGCGGGGAGAGUCGAACCUGAGAGUAUACGGAGCGCUUGCGCAACGUAAUAUGGACGUAACCAUGCUCCCGAGAAAAUCCGCUAAACUUAUCCAUGCGGCACCCGUACCGUAAACGGACACACGUGGUCGGGUUGAGAAUACUGAGGCGCUCGAGUGAUUCACGGUUAAGGAACUAGGCAAAUUGACCCUGUAACUUCGGGAUAAAGGGUCCCAACGAGAGUUGGGCGCAGAGAAUAGGUCCAGGCAACUGUUUAACAAAAACACAGGGCUGUGCCAAAUUGAAAGAUUACGUAUACAGCCUGACACCUGCCCGGUGCUGGAAGGUUAAGAGGAGAUGUCAUCGCAAGAGAAGCAUUGAAUUGAAGCCCCAGUAAACGGCGGCCGUAACUAUAACGGUCCUAAGGUAGCGAAAUUCCUUGUCGGGU